CAGUAGCCGCGGGAAUACGGAGGGUGCAAGCGUUAAUCGGAAUUACUGGGCGUAAAGCGCACGCGGGCGGUUUGUUAAGUCAGAUGUGAAAUCCCCGAGCUUAACUUGGGAACUGCAUUUGAAACUGGCAAGCUAGAGUGUAGUAGAGGGGGGUAGAAUUCCAGGUGUAGCGGUGAAAUGCGUAGAGAUCUGGAGGAAUACCGGUGGCGAAGGCGGACCCCUGGACAAAGACUGACGCUCAGGUGCGAAAGCGUGGGGAGCAAACAGGAUUAGAUACCCCGGUAGUCCCUGUCUCUUAUAC
rnacentral:rRNA from 1 species